rnacentral:lncRNA from 1 species
AGGGGAUGGGCUUUGGGGGUCAAUUGCUGGGCCCAGAUUAAAGGCUGUGAAUGUCCUUUCCCGAAGAAACACCUUUUUCUCCCUCUGACUCCUUUUUGGCAGUGAGCUAAAAGUCUACUCUUUUUGUUCUUUUCUCCGAUCGGGACCGUCCACAAAAUAGGGGACCAUUGUUGAUUGCCUCUGCACUAACUUCUCCUUUUGCUUCCUUCCCUAUCCCUUAUGCAAUUGUUCAUGGACCAACCCAAGUAUUCUGCAACUUCUUCUAACCAUCCAAGUGCUUUGACAUCCAAAGUAGAAUUUCU